CAGACGAGGAGCUUGCUCCUCUGACGUUAGCGGCGGACGGGUGAGUAACACGUGGAUAACCUACCUAUAAGACUGGGAUAACUUCGGGAAACCGGAGCUAAUACCGGAUAAUAUAUUGAACCGCAUGGUUCAAUAGUGAAAGACGGUUUUGCUGUCACUUAUAGAUGGAUCCGCGCCGCAUUAGCCAGUUGGUAAGGUAACGGCUUACCAAGGCGACGAUGCGUAGCCGACCUGAGAGGGUGAUCGGCCACACUGGAACUGAGACACGGUCCAGACUCCUACGGGAGGCAGCAGUAGGGAAUCUUCCGCAAUGGGCGAAAGCCUGACGGAGCAACGCCGCGUGAGUGAUGAAGGUCUUCGGAUCGUAAAACUCUGUUAUUAGGGAA
rnacentral:rRNA from 1 species